rnacentral:lncRNA from 1 species
UCCAGUAGCUUUUCUUCAGUUUUCCAGCAGCUUCUCUUCUUCUUCUUCUUCCUCCUAUCCUCCUCUCCAUUCCAUGUUUCUUUGCACUUUUCAUGGAAAUAUCCUUUGAAACCUUUAAAGCUUCCCUAAAUAAGCUUUAUUUCUCAUGUUUUUCUACACCCUUUCGUAAGGUUUUUCAUGCUCUUCCCUAAAUAAGUGAUUUCCCUUAUUAGCUUGGAAGAAUUUUGGAAAGAAAUUCAAUUACAAAUCCACUAAGGUGAGUGAACUUGCAUUUAAAAUAUUUUGGGAAAUGUAUUGGUAUUUGGAUGAAGCAUGUGAAUGAUUUUUAUUUGAUUUUUCCUUAAAGAUUAUGCAUGGGAACAAGCCUUUAUUAAAACGUUUUAUGUGGUGAGUGUGCAAUAUGAUGAAUCCU